UAUGGUCGUAUCACGUUGAGACACAUGUUCCCGUAUGAUCACCGAAGUUAAGCAACAUCGAGCUUGGUCAGUAUCUAGAUCCGUAACCGCUUGGGAAUACCAAGUGCUGUAAU